rnacentral:rRNA from 1 species
UUAAGCGACUAAGCGUACACGGUGGAUGCCCUGGCAGUCAGAGGCGAUGAAGGACGUGCUAAUCUGCGAAAAGCGUCGGUAAGGUGAUAUGAACCGUUAUAACCGGCGAUGUCCGAAUGGGGAAACCCAGUGCAAUUCGUUGCACUAUCGUUAACUGAAUACAUAGGUUAACGAGGCGAACCGGGGGAACUGAAACAUCUAAGUACCCCGAGGAAAAGAAAUCAACCGAGAUUCCCCCAGUAGCGGCGAGCGAACGGGGAGCAGCCCAGAGUCUGAAUCAGCUUGUGUGUUAGUGGAACGGUCUGGAAAGUCCGACGGUACAGGGUGAUAGUCCCGUACACCAAAAUGCACAGGCUGUGAACUCGAAGAGUAGGGCGGGACACGUGGUAUCCUGUCUGAAUAUGGGGGGACCAUCCUCCAAGGCUAAAUACUCCUGACUGACCGAUAGUGAACCAGUACCGUGAGGGAAAGGCGAAAAGAACCCCGGCGAGGGGAGUGAAAAAGAACCUGAAACCGUGUACGUACAAGCAGUGGGAGCACCUUCGGGUGUGACUGCGUACCUUUUGUAUAAUGGGUCAGCGACUUAUAUUCUGUAGCAAGGUUAACCGUAUAGGGGAGCCGCAGGGAAACCGAGUCUUAACUGGGCGUUAAGUUGCAGGGUAUAGACCCGAAACCCGGUGAUCUAGCCAUGGGCAGGUUGAAGGUUGGGUAACACUAACUGGAGGACCGAACCGACUAAUGUUGAAAAAUUAGCGGAUGACUUGUGGCUGGGGGUGAAAGGCCAAUCAAACCGGGAGAUAGCUGGUUCUCCCCGAAAGCUAUUUAGGUAGCGCCUCGUGAACUCAUCUUCGGGGGUAGAGCACUGUUUCGGCUAGGGGGUCAUCCCGACUUACCAACCCGAUGCAAACUACGAAUACCGAAGAAUGUUAUCACGGGAGACACACGGCGGGUGCUAACGUCCGUCGUGAAGAGGGAAACAACCCAGACCGCCAGCUAAGGUCCCAAAGUCAUGGUUAAGUGGGAAACGAUGUGGGAAGGCACAGACAGCCAGGAUGUUGGCUUAGAAGCAGCCAUCAUUUAAAGAAAGCGUAAUAGCUCACUGGUCGAGUCGGCCUGCGCGGAAGAUGUAACGGGGCUAAACCAUGCACCGAAGCUGCGGCAGCGACACUAUGUGUUGUUGGGUAGGGGAGCGUUCUGUAAGCCUGCGAAGGUGNUGCUGGAGGUAUCAGAAGUGCGAAUGCUGACAUAAGUAACGAUAAAGCGGGUGAAAAGCCCGCUCGCCGGAAGACCAAGGGUUCCUGUCCAACGUUAAUCGGGGCAGGGUGAGUCGACCCCUAAGGCGAGGCCGAAAGGCGUAGUCGAUGGGAAACAGGUUAAUAUUCCUGUACUUGGUGUUACUGCGAAGGGGGGACGGAGAAGGCUAUGUUAGCCGGGCGACGGUUGUCCCGGUUUAAGCAUGUAGGCUGGUUAUCCAGGCAAAUCCGGAUAAUCAAGGCUGAGGUGUGAUGACGAGGCACUACGGUGCUGAAGUAACAAAUGCCCUGCUUCCAGGAAAAGCCUCUAAGCAUCAGGUAACAUCAAAUCGUACCCCAAACCGACACAGGUGGUCAGGUAGAGAAUACCAAGGCGCUUGAGAGAACUCGGGUGAAGGAACUAGGCAAAAUGGUGCCGUAACUUCGGGAGAAGGCACGCUGGUGUGUAGGUGAAGUCCCUGCGGAUGGAGCUGAGACCAGUCGAAGAUACCAGCUGGCUGCAACUGUUUAUUAAAAACACAGCACUGUGCAAACACGAAAGUGGACGUAUACGGUGUGACGCCUGCCCGGUGCCGGAAGGUUAAUUGAUGGGGUUAUCCGUAAGGAGAAGCUCUUGAUCGAAGCCCCGGUAAACGGCGGCCGUAACUAUAACGGUCCUAAGGUAGCGAAAUUCCUUGUCGGGUAAGUUCCGACCUGCACGAAUGGCGUAAUGAUGGCCAGGCUGUCUCCACCCGAGACUCAGUGAAAUUGAACUCGCUGUGAAGAUGCAGUGUACCCGCGGCAAGACGGAAAGACCCCGUGAACCUUUACUAUAGCUUGACACUGAACAUUGAGCCUUGAUGUGUAGGAUAGGUGGGAGGCUUUGAAGCGUGGACGCCAGUCUGCGUGGAGCCAACCUUGAAAUACCACCCUUUAAUGUUUGAUGUUCUAACGUUGGCCCCUUACCGGGGUUGCGGACAGUGUCUGGUGGGUAGUUUGACUGGGGCGGUCUCCUCCCAAAGCGUAACGGAGGAGCACGAAGGUUAGCUAAUCCUGGUCGGACAUCAGGAGGUUAGUGCAAUGGCAUAAGCUAGCUUGACUGCGAGCGUGACGGCGCGAGCAGGUGCGAAAGCAGGUCAUAGUGAUCCGGUGGUUCUGAAUGGAAGGGCCAUCGCUCAACGGAUAAAAGGUACUCCGGGGAUAACAGGCUGAUACCGCCCAAGAGUUCAUAUCGACGGCGGUGUUUGGCACCUCGAUGUCGGCUCAUCACAUCCUGGGGCUGAAGUAGGUCCCAAGGGUAUGGCUGUUCGCCAUUUAAAGUGGUACGCGAGCUGGGUUUAGAACGUCGUGAGACAGUUCGGUCCCUAUCUGCCGUGGGCGCUGGAGAAUUGAGGGGGGCUGCUCCUAGUACGAGAGGACCGGAGUGGACGCAUCACUGGUGUUCGGGUUGUCAUGCCAAUGGCACUGCCCGGUAGCUAAAUGCGGAAGAGAUAAGUGCUGAAAGCAUCUAAGCACGAAACUUGCCCCGAGAUGAGUUCUCCCUGAGACUUUAAGUCUCCUGAAGGAACGUUAAAGACGAUGACGUUGAUAGGCCGGGUGUGUAAGCGCAGCGAUGCGUUGAGCUAACCGGUACUAAUGAACCGUGAGGCUUAACCUU